UACAGAGGGGGCAAGCGUUAUUCGGAAUUACUGGGCGUAAAGGGCUCGUAGGCGGCCAACUAAGUCAGACGUGAAAUCCCUCGGCUUAACCGGGGAACUGCAUCUGAUACUGGAUGGCUUGAGAUUGGGAGAGGGAUGCGGAAUUCCAGGUGUAGCGGUGAAAUGCGUAGAUAUCUGGAGGAACACCGGUGGCGAAGGCGGCAUCCUGGACCAACACUGACGCUGAGGAGCGAAAGCCAGGGGAGCAAACGGG
rnacentral:rRNA from 1 species